GAUGAAGAACGCAGCGAAAUGCGAUAAGUAAUGUGAAUUGCAGAAUUCAGUGAAUCAUCGAAUCUUUGAACGCACAUUGCGCCCGCCAGUAUUCUGGCGGGCAUGCCUGUUCGAGCGUCAUUACAACCCUCAGGCCCCCGGGCCUGGCGUUGGGGAUCGGCGGAGCCCCCCGUGGGCACACGCCGUCCCCCAAAUGCAGUGGCGGUCCCGCCGCAGCUUCCAUCGCGUAGUAGCUAACACCUCGCGACUGGAGAGCGGCGCGGCCACGCCGUAAAACACCCAACUCUUCUGAAGUUGACCUCGAAUCAGGUAGGAAUACCCGCUGAACUUAAGCAUAACAAUAAGCGGAGGA
rnacentral:misc_RNA from 1 species